rnacentral:rRNA from 1 species
AUUGAACGCUGGCGGCAGGCCUAACACAUGCAAGUCGAACGAGUGGCGGACGGGUGAGUAAUGUCUGGGAAACGGCCCGAUGGAGGGGGAUAACUACUGGAAACGGUAGCUAAUACCGCAUACCAUCGGAGGUGCCCAGAUGGGAUUAGCUAGUAGGUGGGGUAACGGCUCACCUAGGCGACGAUCCCUAGCUGGUCUGAGAGGAUGACCAGCCACACUGGAACUGAGACCCGGUCCAGACUCCUGCGGGAGGCAGCAGUGGGGAAUAUUGCACAAUGGGCGCAAUCCUGAUGCAGCCAUGCCGCGUGUAUGAAGAAGGCCUUCGGUUUGUAAAGUACUUUCGGCGAGAAGGCGUUGCUCGCAGAAGAAGCACCGGCUAACUCCGUGCCAGCAGCCGCGGUAAUUC